AUUGAACGCUGGCGGCAGGCCUAACACAUGCAAGUCGAGCGGAAACGAGUUAUCUGAACCUUCGGGGAACGAUAACGGCGUCGAGCGGCGGACGGGUGAGUAAUGCCUAGGAAAUUGCCCUGAUGUGGGGGAUAACCAUUGGAAACGAUGGCUAAUACCGCAUGAUGCCUACGGGCCAAAGAGGGGGACCUUCGGGCCUCUCGCGUCAGGAUAUGCCUAGGUGGGAUUAGCUAGUUGGUGAGGUAAGGGCUCACCAAGGCGACGAUCCCUAGCUGGUCUGAGAGGAUGAUCAGCCACACUGGAACUGAGACACGGUCCAGACUCCUACGGGAGGCAGCAGUGGGGAAUAUUGCACAAUGGGCGCAAGCCUGAUGCAGCCAUGCCGCGUGUAUGAAGAAGGCCUUCGGGUUGUAAAGUACUUUCAGUCGUGAGGAAGGUAGUGUAGUUAAUAGCUGCAUUAUUUGACGUUAGCGACAGAAGAAGCACCGGCUAACUCCGUGCCAGCAGCCGCGGUAAUACGGAGGGUGCGAGCGUUAAUCGGAAUUACUGGGCGUAAAGCGCAUGCAGGUGGUUUGUUAAGUCAGAUGUGAAAGCCCGGGGCUCAACCUCGGAAUAGCAUUUGAAACUGGCAGACUAGAGUACUGUAGAGGGGGGUAGAAUUUCAGGUGUAGCGGUGAAAUGCGUAGAGAUCUGAGGGAAUACCGGUGGCGAAGGCGGCCCCCUGGACAGAUACUGACACUCAGAUGCGAAAGCGUGGGGAGCAAACAGG
rnacentral:rRNA from 1 species